GUAAUAACAGUGAAAAGGAGUAGUAGUAAUAGAAGCUGGUUUAGAGAGUUGACGGUCGGUGCAAGUCAAUCCACGUUUCGUUAUGAACUCGCCUUUGAGUUGCAGUUGUGAAACUAAUAGUAGCAAUUGCCGUUAAUCCACGUUACGGAUCUAAGCGAAUGUAUAUUUUACAUUAAUUUAGGGUGGUACCGCGGGAAUCUAUAACCUCUCGUCCCUUUC
rfam:Bacillus cereus Rock4-18 chromosome, whole genome shotgun sequence.